UGAGGGAUUCCUACGCCGGCGGCAAGCCCUCGAUGCGGGCACAGGGACGGCUCCCCAUGGCGGCGCAGCAGUGGAAGAGAUGGAGGAGUCCGCCCGUGGUCCUCCCCCACCAGCACGAGGCCACCAUGCUCCUCCAGCUUCUCUCGCGCCGCCUUGAGGUCGGCACGCCGCCAUGGCUCCAGCCCUACCGCCGCGAGGUUGUCGUGCCGCCCCUGCUCCUCCCCACUGGAGGGGCGCCGCAGGUCCUCACCUUGUCCAUCUCACAGGCCCGAGGCCACACCGCCGUGGAAGGUCAUGGAUGCCACUCGCCCGUGUGAGACCUGCGCCGCCAGCCUCCUCCCUGCUGGGCUAUGUCCUCACCUCCGGGACUGAUUACAGACGCAGGUUUGGAAAUUCCCACUCCGGCUGUAGGAUGUCAUUCAGCUCGACAUCUUCAGUGAACGUCGUGGUGGGAUUGUUGGUGCUCCCUGCUGCUGAACUCUCUGGCUGCCCAACUGUUGACCUGCCUACCCCAAUGCGUCGGGAUGAUCCAGGUUUUCUUCAACAUUUUCCAACGUUGACAGUUUGAUCUUGGAGCUGCAGGUUCUGUGCAGCGGGAGUAUGUGUUCCUAGGUCUUCUUAAUUUAUCAUAUAUUUUUAGUGCUACUCUGAAGUGUAGCUGAACGUGUCUGUCUAAUUCACUUAGUAGUUGUGUCCACUCCCUUGCAGGCCAUUUGCAACAGGUUGCAAUCUGACCAGAUCAGGAUGCAGCUUCCGAUGGUUUGCUUGGUGCAAGAGAGUGGUGUUAAUAUUACCACGAAAUAGGCUUUAUGUCAACUGUUCUUGAGGUCUAUUUUUAAAGGGGUCCUAUGUACAAAAGGUGAGUUAUCAGAAUUAAGGUUUAGUAUAGUAGUUAUCCUUUAUCACUAUAAGUUGCACUAUUUGAGUUACAUGUGAGGUUCUUACAUUUAACUUUUAGGCAUGGUCUUUGCAGACUAACAGCUACUCCAAAAUGCAUGCUUUUGGUUCAGAUUUACUUUCCCUUCUACGCACACUAUUUUAGCUUCCAAAAUUGUCAGCAAAUAUCUGUCAGAAAUGCUCAGCCAACAAUGUUUCUACCUUCUUAAAUUGCACAUUUCUCAGAGCAUUGGUUUCCCAUUCAUACAGAUAACUUUCAGUACAAUAUUGUUAAAAAAAGUGGUUAUCACAGACAAGAUAAUGUUUACAUCUUUGCUUCUCCUAAAAUGUGGAUUAUUCUAGCUCCAAAUACUAUCAGAAAAUGAUAAUCACAGUUGCUGAUUUAAUGAUGCUUCCAUCAUCAUCUUACAUAUUUACAUCUAGAGUCAUAAUAUACAACAGGGUUUCCCAAUUUAUGCAUCUAUCUGUAAGAUGAAUAGUAAGGACUAUCCGCUAGCUACUAGACAUGAUGUCAAUUUAGUUUUGUUCAGAUUAGAUUAUGAUGUGCAAUGGGAAGAGAUAUUGCUGCUACAUUUGGUCUUUAGCAAUAGUAAAUUCAGGUUUUUCUCGCUGCAGCUAUUCAGCCAAGAGAUAUUGCUGCUACAAAUUUACAGUUGAAACAUGUGCUUGCUUGCCAGGAUAUAUACUUCUUUCUCUGACAUAUACAGAUCAUCAUAUGCAUCCUUUAUUGGAUAUGAGUUUUCGAGUUGUGUUUAACUAGCCUCAGUUAUCUCCUUUUCUUUAUGAACAAUCCAAUUUUUGAUCUCAAUUAUUUAUGUUGUUGCAAUGCUCAUCAAAUUCCUUUUCAUUACCAGCUGUUAUUUCCCAUGAAUCUAUGAGGGGUUCUAUCCACAUACGUAUUGUGAGGUACUCCAGAAAUAAGUACGUAGCGUUGCCUCAGCUUACUACCUUUUCCCUAUGCACAGCCCACUUGAAUGAUCAGAAAUAAUUUAUGGUCUUUCUGGAACAAAUAUACUACUAUUAUCUAGAUUUUCUGUACAAUUUCGUCAGCACAAUUCCCUUUUUUGGUAUCAACAUGAUGUCGCUACUUGCUCUAUGUUUGUAAGCUGUACGAGCAUUACUGUUUUCGACACAAAGAAAAACUUAAUCAACUUGGUGCAUAUAUGCCUUUCAUAGAAACCCACCUAGAUGUAAAGGGUGUUACCAUAUUGUUGGCACCACUCUGUAGCCUCUAGCCUGCAAUAUUCUUACCUUGAUACGUUCAUGCGUCAGUGAAAAGAAGCAAAAAAAUUGGACUCUAUUUCAGUAUGGACAUAUGUUCAAAAUGGAUGUUUCGGUGAACCGGCACUCUUUUGAAUUGUUUUGCGAAAACAUGAAAUUUAGUGUAGAAGUGCAAAUGCAAUAAGCUGUAUUGGCUGUUCAGGCCAUGCUAUCUUUGCUUUUCAAGUAUUGUACUACUUGAUCCUCAGUUAGAGAUUAGGCAUUGCAACUUCAUGUGUCUUGAGUAUCCGUGACAGUUUUACUAAGACCUCUCUUAGUCUGGUUCUAACUACUACUUUCAUUUCAAUAGGACACCCCCACUUUCUGCUAUGUAUUGAUUUUUCCCUCAACUUUUUGAGUGCAUUACCCAUCUCCAUGGUUUGAUAUUGACAUAUAUAGCAACAAAGAUACUAUGAGAUAGCAAUUGUUCUUUCUAUGCAGUAUAUAGCUUCUUUACUUAAUAAGAUGGUGUAGAAGCCACGGCAGGAGUUGUGUUUGCUGCCACAAAGUCAAUACAAAAGAGAAAAUUCUGAGAAGGUCUCAACUUAUUUAUGAAUGUGAGGCAGCCGGACUAUAAAUCAGAAGUGCCAUCAGUUACAUUUCGCUAGCAGGCAUAUGGCCUAUAUCUGCAAGUGUGACCUUUGGUAGUUCCUUCCGAAUCCUUGGUUAGUCUAGCAACGUAUGAUGCUUAGAAACAGGAAAUGUGGAAGGCAAUAGAGCAGUCAGUCAGUCAGAUGUCUGACAAAAAUUUGUCUCACAAGGAACAUUAUCAGAAUAUUUUGCAAUUGCCAUGGGAUGCAAUCCAUUUUUGAAGGUUUGGACAACUGGAUAUACUGGCAUCUGCCUGAGCUUCAUCACUCUGUUCAAUUUAGAGUUGGAAGCAAACAACACAAUAGUUGUAGGUACUAUGGUGGUGUUGUGCUCUAUCUCAUGCGGUGAGCAUGCGUUCAUUUUGCUCAAAUUCAAACAUUGUAACACACGAUUUUGCUGGACAAUUUAUUUUCAUCCAAUUCUACAAACAAUAUUUAAAAUCAAA